rnacentral:tRNA from 1 species
GGCUCUGAGGCGCAAUGGAUAGUGCAUUGGACUUCUAGGCUGUGAGCUGAGCCAUUCAAAGGUUGUGGGUUUGAGUCCCACCAGAGUUG